ACUAUGUCUGCAUGAGCUUAGUUAAAAAACAUAAUUACUAAUACUACUCGAUAAUUCAACACAAAUUCUAGUACUGGAUAGUUCUACUACUGGAUAGUUCAAUACAAAUUCAACCAUUACAUACUUAAAAUUCAUCAUAGAUCUCCUUCAACUUCUUCACCAUGUCCUUAUAGCCAUGGUUCUAUUUCAUCAUAUCAGAAAUGAUGUGCUCCAGCUUUUUCUUCUCUUCCUUCAUUUGGUCUCUCUCUAGCACAAGUUGGUCCCUCUCCUUCUCUGCCUUCGCCCUGAGUACCUGAUGUAGAUUGGUAGAAGAAUGGUUUGCCAACUUCUUCUCAAUCUCCUCUUUCAAAUCACUAAUAGCCAACCUAGCAC
rnacentral:lncRNA from 1 species